rnacentral:rRNA from 1 species
AGAGUUUGAUCCUGGCUCAGAGCGAACGCUGGCGGCAGGCCUAACACAUGCAAGUCGAGCGCCCCGCAAGGGGAGCGGCAGACGGGAGAGUAACACGUGGGAACGUACCCUUCAGUUCGGAACAACCCAGGGAAACUUGGGCUAAUACCGAAUACGUCCGUAAGGAGAAAGAUUUAUCGCUGAAGGAUCGGCCCGCGUCUGAUUAGCUUGUUGGUGAGGUAACGGCUCACCAAGGCGACGAUCAGUAGCUGGUCUGAGAGGAUGAUCAGCCUCACUGGGACUGAGACACGGCCCAGACUCCUACGGGAGGCAGCAGUGGGGAAUAUUGGACAAUGGGCGCAAGCCUGAUCCAGCCAUGCCGCGUGGGUGAUGAAGGCCCUAGGGUUGUAAAGCC